AGCCCCGCUCGCCAAGCUCGGAAUCCGGAUCAGCUGGAGGGACCCAAAGCCUUCGGCUUCGCCCUCCCCCAGUAGCUUGGACCACAUCCUAGAGACCAAACUCUGAGCCUCGACUUCCACACAUAAAUUGGGAAAGACAACAGUCCCUACUGUGGAAGUUGCUGAGAAAAUACCAGACGCAGUGUGAGCGUUCAUGAUGGAGCCGGCCUCCUCCCAUAAAGCCGGCCUCAGGGACUUUGUGCAGCAGAGCAAUGCCUCCAGUCAGGCUCUACCUCACCAGUCUCCCCAGCAGUUUGAUACUCAUGGAACUGAGGCUCAAAGGAGGGACUUCUGACGAUCUCAGAAUUCCACCUGGGCAGGUCGGAGAGUUCACAGCCCCUCGUCACUCGGAGGAAGGGAAUGCAGAGGAGCAAGGAUGCAGGUUCCUGAGACCAUACAGAGAGGCCUUCCCUGGGCGGUUUCCAGACCAAGAAGCCCACGCCCUUCCCCGGGAGCCAAGCCAAGAAGGUCCUGGGACUGAGGGCCCCAUAUGCCGCUCAUUUUCCAACCCCUCUGGGCAGGGCUGCCUCCGCUCCAUGCCUCAGAGAGAUCUUUGCAAUGAUGGAUAAGCCGUGGCCCCGACGGCCCUGGCCCUGGGGAGGAAAAAAAACAUCUUUUGCAGUUUCGUGUAAAGCCUCCCACUUUUCGCUUAAUAAGUGCUGAAAGAGGCACAAACAGAGGGACCCCGAGCUUGCCAUGACUAACAAGAUGACCACAUCAGGCAGAGCCGAGCUGGGGGAGAGGACCGCGCCGGCCGGCCGCCCGGCUUCCCGGCGCGGAGGUGUCCGAUUCCCGAUUCCCUCCCGGGACGCUCCGCCAACAGUGCUUUGAAGCCAUGCCUAGGAGCCCGGAGCAGGGAGGCACGGAGCGAAGUGGGGAAAGGGCUGGUCCUCCCUCCCGCCUCCCGCAGGAUGGGCACAGAUCGCCCAAGAUAAAGGAACCGCAGCCUCCUCCAACUUGUGCUGAGUCGCUCUUUUCAAAAGCCCUUUCAGAUGGUUUCACUUCUCCGCGCGCGCUUUGUUGAAAGAUGUAAAAAUUUCAAACCACCACAGAGUAAACAUUUCAAAACUCGCUCUUUGCAAAAAUCAGUCACAUUUUCCCAAAAAAAAAAAAAAAAAAAAAUCUUGAAUUCCAUCUCUCCACGCACCACCACUCCCCCCGUCUCCCCCGCCCCCUCAAUCCCUUUUUCUGCGCUCUUUGGAUUCGAGUGUUUUUCAUUAAUUUAGAAGCAGUCCAGGUAAAGCUGGUGUUUGCGAGCUGGUGUUUUACGGGCGGGAAGUAGCUUUGUUAUUUAGGAGAUGUUUUAGAUAAGUCAAUGUCUUGUCAAAAUCAAGCAGGUUUUCUUUAUUAGGGUGAAAUCGUAAUGAACUCAUCUGCUUCUAAUAUUUAUAAAGAGAAGAGAGGCCAUUAAUUCUACUGCUUGUGAAUAAAACCAUCUGUGAUUUCUUUCCAUUUGAUGGGUUUUGGUUUUAAUAUACAUUUUUCACAAAUAAGCGCAGAGAUUUUUUGGUGAAAAUGUCACAUUCAGGAUCUCAUAAAGAAAGAAUGCAAAGAGAGGAAAACGAAAUGUUUUGUUAGCUAAGUAAUUUCUCACCUUGCAGAGUGGGGAACAUUUGAGCCAACUUUAGCACAUUUGGGUGAUGGAAUCGCCCGUUCAACGCUAAUGCAAUCCAUGACAUGUUACAAGGCGAACCGCGUCCGUUUUGAAGUUUGUUUUCCUUCGGGAAUUACACAGUUCAUUUAACCUAAUCUGUCCUGACACUUGAAUUAUAAUAUCAUGAGCUUCUUCAGGGAAGUAAAACAGUAGUUGCCUGCUUAAAAGCAAAGCAGAAGUUAAUAAAGCGGGCAAAAUGUCAAGGAAAAGGAGCUAAUCGAAUCGCAGUGUCAUUCUCUAGAGAAAAUACAGUCAAGUUGUAUUUUUUUUCCAG
ensembl:lncRNA